UAUUUUUGACUGUAGUUUGAUAGAAACAUGAUUAAUGUUAAUUCAUUAAUUUGAUGUCAAAUCCGUGGAUGUUGUGCAGGUUUUUACAGACAUGAGGAUCAUCACACGUGUCUCUGUCAAUCACUGAAUCAACUGAGUUUGAUUGUGAGUCACGUCACACUUGAUAUAAAAGUGAAUUUCUUUCAAUAAUUGAGGUUGAUGUUUUAGUAAUAAGACAGAUGAAGUAAAUGCAGGUGAUGUGUGCUGUGAGUGUGUGUUUGUUGGAGACUCAGUUGAUGUGUGUUUGUUCAGUUAGUGAAGCGUUCAGGAGGUUUUUGUUCAGCUGCUCUAUUAGUUUGUAUCACUGUGGUGGACUUUCGGCAGCGGCACCAAACUGGAUGUUGGCAUAGAGAAAAGCUUUGUUCUUGACUGAGGUGAGCGUCCUGCCGCCCUCCAGUGCAGAGAUCUCCUCAAAGAAGACAGCGACACUGGUGUGUGUGGCCAGCAAGGGCUUCCCGUCAGACUGGAGCCUGAGCUGGAAGGUGGACGGGAGCAGCAGGUCUCAGGAGAGCAGCGCUGGGCUCCUGGAGAAGGACGGUCUGUACAGCUGGAGCAGCAGCCUGACUCUCUCUGAGCAGGAGUGGAUGGAGAGCGUCUCAGUGAGCUGUGAGGCCACACGGAGCGGUCAGCCUGCGCUCACUGGACAAGUGACGAGACAGCAGUGUUCAGAGUAGAUCUGCUGCUCUUCUCACUCAUGUCUCACAUGGAGACUAACAGCACAUGAGCGACUCCUUCAUUCUCCACAUCCAGCUUCAGUCGCUCGCAUCUGCAUCUGC